rnacentral:rRNA from 1 species
UGGGGAAUAUUGGACAAUGGGCGCAAGCCUGAUCCAGCCAUGCCGCGUGAGUGAUGAAGGCCCUAGGGUUGUAAAGCUCUUUCACCGGUGAAGAUAAUGACGGUAACCGGAGAAGAAGCCCCGGCUAACUUCGUGCCAGCAGCCGCGGUAAUACGAAGGGGGCUAGCGUUGUUCGGAAUUACUGGGCGUAAAGCGCACGUAGGCGGACAUUUAAGUCAGGGGUGAAAUCCCGGGGCUCAACCCCGGAACUGCCUUUGAUACUGGGUGUCUAGAGUUCGAGAGAGGUGAGUGGAAUUCCGAGUGUAGAGGUGAAAUUCGUAGAUAUUCGGAGGAACACCAGUGGCGAAGGCGGCUCACUGGCUCGAUACUGACGCUGAGGUGCGAAAGCGUGGGGAGCAAAACAGGAUUAGAUACCCUGGUAGUCCACGCCGUAAACGAUGGAAGCCAGCUGUCGGCAAGUUUACUUGUCGGUGGCGCAGCUAACGCAUUAAGCUUCCCGCCUGGGGAGUACGGUCGCAAGAUUAAAACUCAAAUGAAUUGACGGGGUCAUAGCUGUUUCCUG